AACGCACAUUGCGCCCGCCAGUAUUCUGGCGGGCAUGCCUGUUCGAGCGUCAUUUCAACCCUCAGGGCCCUCAGCCCCUGGUGUUGGGGACCGGCGAGACGUUUGGGGGGGGGGGGAUUCCUCCCCCCCUGGACACGCCGCCCCCGAAAUGAAUUGGCGGCCUCGUCGCGGCCUCCUCUGCGUAGUAGCACAACCUCGCAGCGGGAGCGCGGCGCGGCCACUGCCGUAAAAAGACGCAAACUUCUCAAGAGUUGACCUCGAAUCAGGUAGGAAUACCCGCUGAACUUAA
rnacentral:misc_RNA from 1 species